AUUGAACGCUGGCGGCAUGCUUUACACAUGCAAGUCGAACGGUAACAGGUUAAGCUGACGAGUGGCGAACGGGUGAGUAAUGCAUCGGAACGUGCCCGGUCGUGGGGGAUAACGCAGCGAAAGCUGCGCUAAUACCGCAUACGAUCUGAGGAUGAAAGCGGGGGACCGUACGGCCUCGCGCGAUCGGAGCGGCCGAUGUGAGAUUAGGUAGUUGGUGGGGUAAAGGCUCACCAAGCCGACGAUCUGUAGCUGGUCGGAGAGGACGGCCAGUCACACUGGGACUGAGACACGGCCCAGACUCCUACGGGAGGCAGCAGUGGGGAAUUUUGGACAAUGGGCGCAAGCCUGAUCCAGCAAUGCCGCGUGCAGGAAGAAGGCCUUCGGGUUGUAAACUGCUUUUGUACGGAGCGAAAAGGCUCUCUCUAAUACAGGGGGCUCAUGACGGUACCGUAAGAAUAAGCACCGGCUAACUACGUGCCAGCCGCCGCUGUAACAC
rnacentral:rRNA from 1 species